rnacentral:rRNA from 1 species
UAACAAGGUUUCCGUAGGUGAACCUGCGGAAGGAUCAUUACCGAGUUGAUUCGAGCUCCGGCUCGACUCUCCCACCCAAUGUGUACCUACCUCUGUUGCUUUGGCGGGCCGCGGUCCUCCGCACCGGCGCCCUUCGGGGGGCUGGCCAGCGCCCGCCAGAGGACCAUAAAACUCCAGUCAGUGAACUUCGCAGUCUGAAAAACAAGUUAAUAAACUAAAACUUUCAACAACGGAUCUCUUGGUUCUGGCAUCGAUGAAGAACGCAGCGAAAUGCGAUAAGUAAUGUGAAUUGCAGAAUUCAGUGAAUCAUCGAAUCUUUGAACGCACAUUGCGCCCCUUGGUAUUCCGAGGGGCAUGCCUGUUCGAGCGUCAUUUCAACCCUCAAGCUCUGCUUGGUAUUGGGCCCCGUCCUCCACGGACGCGCCUUAAAGACCUCGGCGGUGGCGUCUUGCCUCAAGCGUAGUAGAAAACACCUCGCUUUGGAGCGCACGGCGUCGCCCGCCGGACGAACCUUUGAAUUAUUUCUCAAGGUUGACCUCGGAUCAGGUAGGGAUACCCGCUGAACUUAAGCAUAUCA